rnacentral:rRNA from 1 species
GCAGUCGAGCGCGAAACACUUCGGUGUGAGUAGAGCGGCGGACGGGUGAGUAAUGCUUGGGAAUCUGCCCAGUAGUGGGGGAUAACGUGUGGAAACGCACGCUAAUACCGCAUACGUCCUACGGGAGAAAGCAGGGGAUCUUCGGACCUUGCGCUAUUGGAUGAGCCCAAGUCAGAUUAGCUAGUUGGUGGGGUAAUGGCCUACCAAGGCGACGAUCUGUAGCUGGUCUGAGAGGAUGAUCAGCCACACUGGGACUGAGACACGGCCCAGACUCCUACGGGAGGCAGCAGUGGGGAAUAUUGGACAAUGGGCGGAAGCCUGAUCCAGCCAUGCCGCGUGUGUGAAGAAGGCUCUAGGGUUGUAAAGCACUUUCAGUAGGGAGGAAAAGCUUAAGGUUAAUAACCUUGAGCCCUGACGUUACCUACAGAAGAAGCACCGGCAAACUCCGUGCCAGCAGCCGCGGUAAUACGGAGGGUGCGAGCGUUAAUCGGAAUUACUGGGCGUAAAGCGCGCGUAGGUGGUUUGAUAAGCUAGCUGUGAAAGCCCAGGGCUCAACCUUGGAACUGCAUUCAAAACUGGCGAACUA